CAACAAUAAAAAAUACUACAAAUAAAAAUACAGUACAACUAUUUACAUAGCAUUUACAUUUUAUUAGGUGUUAUAAGUAAUCUAGAGAUGAUGUAAAAGUUAUGUGCAAAUACUGUGCCAUUUUAUAUAAGGGACUUAGAGCAUCCCUGAAUUUUGGUAUCUGCAGGGAUCUUGGAACUAAUCCCCAGUGGAUACUGAGGGACAACUGUGUGUAUUUUCACAAGGCUUUGUCGUUUCUCGGAGCUUUCACUGAUGAAUAAAAUCUAGGUGAUCUCAACUCAGGGGUAAAAGUCAUUUUUGGCUGCUUUCUUUGUGGGUUUUUCUUACAUAGAGCAUGAAAGAAAAAACUCACCGAAUCUAUCCAAGUCUAGGAUUAAAUUAUUUCUGUCUUUCGGGCUGAAGAUGGAUUUGAUGCUGAUGACUAAAGAUAGCCAGUUGCCCCUUGUUACAGGUGGGUCCUCACAAAUUUGGCCAGUAGAAAGCUGCAGUGGAGACACUGUUAAGACUGCAAGAAUAUCAGUUCCUCAUGUCACAGUCAGCUGCUCUGGUCCAUGCACCUCUGCCAACUUCCAGUGGCUAAUAAGCUUUUGGCCCAGUGAUGGAAGCAAUGGUGCCAAUGACAAAUAUAAACAAGGUCCUCUGCCAGGAGCAAAAGCUGAAAUCUUUCUGGUAAUUGCAGCCUGACAUGUGCAUGGCCCCAGGAUCGUGUGCCAUCUCCACCACAGUCAUUUACUAUCUGUCGUGGCUCCAGGGACCUCAUACAACAUAAUGGCUGCCAUGGACACCGCAUUAUCCUGAAUAUGCCAGGGCAAAAUGACAUCAUUCUUUUUGUAACUCCCCAGAGUUGGGAAUGAAUGGAUAUUAGGAAGGACAUCCACAGAGCUGGUCAGUCAAGAAUGAAACCUAUGCACCAAACUGAGAAAAGCUGUUGAUAGAGGAAUUUUAAAGAAGGAAUAGGGAGAGGACUACUUCUCUGUUUUUAGCUGGAAGUUCUAUCAUGUACAAAUGCUUUUGAUCACUACUUACAGCAUGUCCAGCAAUGAUGGCUUGAAAAUGGGAGAUUAUUGUAUGACAAGAAGUCCUAUGCAGGAGGAUUUUCUGGUUAUAACAACUGCUCUAUCAUGCAUCAAGGACAUAGGUUAUAUAUGUCUUUUCUGUCCUUCAUUCUCAAACUAAAAUGAUUCUCUGUGAAAGAAGCUGUAAAGACUCUCUACAAAAAAUCAGAGUGACUGUCAACCAUCUGUGCAAAUACACACCCACCAGAGAUAAUAAAGGUGCUUAGAGAAACAUAAAUGUAAAGUGGGCUCCCACAUCUAUAGAGGCAUUCAGAGCCUGAGAAAAGAGCUCCAACAAAUUUCACCUCUAGCAGCCUGAGUGGACUAUAACAGCUAUUCCUAAGGAAUAAUGCUACCGAUUAAUAAAGAUAGAAAAGUAAGAUGUAAUGUAAGUUAUAUCCAGGAUUGGUCUUUCUUUCUUUCUUUCUUUCUA
rnacentral:lncRNA from 1 species